GAUGAGUCUUUCAACCCUGGAGAAGAGGAUGACGACGUCCCAGAAGAAUUACAGUAACGCUUCAGAGAGAGAUAGUGAGGCAGAUGAUAGAGACAGUGAGGAUGAAGGCAAGA